rnacentral:rRNA from 1 species
AGAGUUUGAUCAUGGCUCAGAUUGAACGCUGGCGGCGUGCCUAACACAUGCAAGUCGAGCGGUAACAGGUGUAGCAAUACAUGCUGACGGGCGGCGAACGGGUGAGUAAUGCUUCGGAAUCUACCCUCUAGUGGGGAAUAACCAGCCGAAAGGUUGGCUAAUACCGCAUACGUCCUACGGGAGAAAGCAGGGGAUCGUAAGACCUUGCGCUGAUGGAUGAGCCGAAGUCGGAUUAGCUAGUUGGUGAGGUAACGGCUCACCAAGGCGACGAUCCGUAGCUGGUCUGAGAGGACGACCAGCCACACUGGAACUGAGACACGGUCCAGACUCCUACGGGAGGCAGCAGUGGGGAAUAUUGGACAAUGGGGGAAACCCUGAUCCAGCGACGCCGCGUGUGUGAAGGAGGCCUGCGGGUUGUAAAGCACUUUUAGUGGGGAUGAAAUGUGCAGAGCUAAUAUCUCUGCAUUUUGACCUAACCCACAGAAAAAGCACCGGCUAACUCUGUGCCAGCAGCCGCGGUAAUACAGAGGGUGCAAGCGUUAAUCGGAAUUACUGGGCGUAAAGCGUGCGCAGACGGUUACAUAAGUCGGGUGUGAAAGCCCCGGGCUCAACCUGGGAAUUGCAUUCGAGACUGUGUAGCUAGGGUACGGAAGAGGGAAGCGGAAUUUCAGGUGUAGCGGUGAAAUGCGUAGAUAUCUGAAGGAACACCAGUGGCGAAAGCGGCUUCCUGGUCCAGUACCGACGUUCAGGCACGAAAGCGUGGNNGAAACAGGAUUAGAUACCCUAGUAGUCC